GUGGGGAAUCUUGCGCAAUGGCCGAAAGGCUGACGCAGCGACGCCGCGUGUGGGAGGACGCCUUUCGGGGUGUAAACCACUGUUGCCCGGGACGAACAUCCCUUUUCGAGGGGACUGACGGUACCGGGUGAGGAAGCACCGGCUAACUCCGUGCCAGCAGCCGCGGUAAUACGGAGGGUGCGAGCGUUGUCCGGAAUCAUUGGGCGUAAAGGGCGCGUAGGUGGCGGGACAAGCGUGCGGUGAAAGCCUGGGGCUCAACCCCGGGUCGGCCGUGCGAACUGUUUUGCUUGAGCACUGUAGAGGCAGGCGGAAUUCCGGGUGUAGCGGUGGAAUGCGUAGAGAUCCGGAAGAACACCGGUGGCGAAGGCGGCCUGCUGGGCAGUAGCUGACACUGAGGCGCGACAGCGUGGGGAGCAAACAGGAUUAGAAACCCGGGUAGUCC
rnacentral:rRNA from 1 species